UGGGGAAUUUUGGACAAUGGGCGAAAGCCUGAUCCAGCAAUGCCGCGUGUGUGAAGAAGGCCUUCGGGUUGUAAAGCACUUUUGUCCGGAAAGAAAUCCUUGGCUCUAAUACAGUCGGGGGAUGACGGUACCGGAAGAAUAAGCACCGGCUAACUACGUGCCAGCAGCCGCGGUAAUACGUAGGGUGCAAGCGUUAAUCGGAAUUACUGGGCGUAAAGCGUGCGCAGGCGGUUUGCUAAGACCGAUGUGAAAUCCCCGGGCUCAACCUGGGAACUGCAUUGGUGACUGGCAGGCUAGAGUAUGGCAGAGGGGGGUAGAAUUCCACGUGUAGCAGUGAAAUGCGUAGAGAUGUGGAGGAAUACCGAUGGCGAAGGCAGCCCCCUGGGCCAAUACUGACGCUCAUGCACGAAAAGCGUGGGGGAGCAAAACAGGAUUAGAUACCCUGGUAGUCCACGCCCUAAAACGAUGUCAACUAGUUGUUGGGGGAUUCAUUUCCUUAGUAACGUAGCUAACGCGUGAAGUUGACCGCCUGGGGGAGUACGGUCGC
rnacentral:rRNA from 1 species